rnacentral:rRNA from 1 species
AGCAGUGGGGAAUAUUGGACAAUGGGCGAAAGCCUGAUCCAGCCAUGCCGCGUGUGUGAAGAAGGUCUUCGGAUUGUAAAGCACUUUAAGUUGGGAGGAAGGGCAUUAACCUAAUACGUUAGUGUUUUGACGUUACCGACAGAAUAAGCACCGGCUAACUCUGUGCCAGCAGCCGCGGUAAUACAGAGGGUGCAAGCGUUAAUCGGAAUUACUGGGCGUGAAGCGCGCGUAGGUGGUUUGUUAAGUUGGAUGUGAAAUCCCCGGGCUCAACCUGGGAACUGCAUUCAAAACUGACUGACUAGAGUAUGGUAGAGGGUGGUGGAAUUUCCUGUGUAGCGGUGAAAUGCGUAGAUAUAGGAAGGAACACCAGUGGCGAAGGCGACCACCUGGACUAAUACUGACACUGAGG